AACCUGCCUGUAAGACUGGGAUAACUCCGGGAAACCGGGGCUAAUACCGGAUGGUUGUUUGAACCGCAUGGUUCAAACAUAAAAGGUGGCUUCGGCUACCACUUACAGAUGGACCCGCGGCGCAUUAGCUAGUUGGUGAGGUAAUGGCUCACCAAGGCAACGAUGCGUAGCCGACCUGAGAGGGUGAUCGGCCACACUGGGACUGAGACACGGCCCAGACUCCUACGGGAGGCAGCAGUAGGGAAUCUUCCGCAAUGGACGAAAGUCUGACGGAGCAACGCCGCGUGAGUGAUGAAGGUUUUCGGAUCGUAAAGCUCUGUUGUUAGGGAAGAACAAGUACCGUUCGAAUAGGGCGGUACCUUGACGGUACCUAACCAGAAAGCCACGGCUAACUACGUGCCAGCAGCCGCGGUAAUACGUAGGUGGCAAGCGUUGUCCGGAAUUAUUGGGCGUAAAGGGCUCGCAGGCGGUUUCUUAAGUCUGAUGUGAAAGCCCCCGGCUCAACCGGGGAGGGUCAUUGGAAACUGGGGAACUUGAGUGCAGAAGAGGAGAGUGGAAUUCCACGUGUAGCGGUGAAAUGCGUAGAGAUGUGGAGGAACACCAGUGGCGAAGGCGACUCUCUGGUCUGUAACUGACGCUGAGGAGCGAAAGCGUGGGGAGCGAACAGGAUUAGAUACCCUGGUAGUCCACGCCGUAAACGAUGAGUG
rnacentral:rRNA from 1 species